rnacentral:rRNA from 1 species
UACGUGAGGGUGCAAGCGUUAAUCGGAAUUACUGGGCGUAAAGGCGUGCGCAGGCGGUUUUGUAAGUCUGACGUGAAAUCCCCGGGCUCAACCUGGGAAUUGCGUUGGAGACUGCAAGGCUGGAGUCUGGCAGAGGGGGGUAGAAUUCCAACGUGUAGCAGUGAAAUGCGUAGAGAUUUGGUGGAACACCGGUGGCGAAGGCGGCUAAUCGUGGCUCACAACUGACGA